rnacentral:lncRNA from 1 species
UAUGUGUCAACUUGAGCAGGUUAAGGGAUGGCAGGUAGCUGGUAAAACAUUAUUUCUAGUUCUGGAGGCUGGGAAGUACAAUAUCAAGAUUCUGGAAGAUGUGGAGUCUGGUGAAGGACGUUGCAGUGUACCUACAUUGGGUGAACAUGGAUUUGGUAAACAAGUAUCAGCAUCCCAGAGCUUCCAAACAUAAAAAACAACAUCAAGGCUUAUUAAAUGAUUUUGAAUGUGAAAACAAGAAAGCAAGAAAAGGGCAGGACAAUAUAGCGCCACUGAAAGGAAGGUCGAGCUGCUGAACCUCCACAGUGAAGAAGAAUUGAAUAUGUUUGUUUGACAUACUUUCUCAUUGGACAGCCUCACAAGCAGCAUAAUGACUAAGGAAUAGGACCAUCGGAGGCUGCACUUUCUGUGACCCAUUCUUCCUUCAUCCUUGCAAAUAGGAAUUCAUUUUAAGAAACAAUUAAACUACUUCUUCAUUCAUCUAAGCAUUCCUGGGAAAAUAAGUGUUAUAUCUAUGUGAGUUUUCUACAUAAUUGAAGCUUAUCCCUAUUAAAGUC